rnacentral:misc_RNA from 1 species
AAGUCGUAACAAGGUCUCCGUUGGUGAACCAGCGGAGGGAUCAUUAUCGAGUUUACAACUCCCAAACCCCUGUGAACAUACCUAUCGUUGCCUCGGCGGUGCCCGCUCCGGCGGCCCGCCAGAGGACCCCCAAACUCUUGUUUUAUACAGUAUCUUCUGAGUAACACGAUUAAAUAAAUCAAAACUUUCAACAACGGAUCUCUUGGUUCUG